GACGAACGCUGGCGGCGUGCUUAACACAUGCAAGUCGAACGAUGAAGCCGGAGCUUGCUCUGGUGAAUUAGUGGCGAACGGGUGAGUAACACGUGAGUAACCUGCCCUUGACUCUGGGAUAACUGCUAGAAAUGGUAGCUAAUACCGGAUACGACCCUCGGAGGCAACUCCAGGGGGUGGAAAGAAUUUCGGUCAAGGAUGGACUCGCGGCCUAUCAGCUAGUUGGUGAGGUAAUGGCUCACCAAGGCGACGACGGGUAGCCGGCCUGGGAGGGUGACCGGCCACACUGGGACGGAGACACGGCCCAGACUCCUACGGGAGGGGGCAGUGGGGAAUAUUGCACAAUGGGCGCAAGCCUGAUGCAGCAACGCCGCGUGAGGGAUGACGGCCUUCGGGUUGUAAACCUCUUUUAGUAGGGAAGAAGCGAAAGUGACGGUACCUGCAGAAAAAGCACCGGCUAACUACGUGCCAGCAGCCGCCGUAA
rnacentral:rRNA from 1 species